CACAGUCACUUCACUUUCGUUUACUAGGAUUCCCUCGCGAUCCGCCGCAGAGUUCCUCACACUGGGCACCACCAGAGGGAGGCAUUGCAGAGAGACCCCUUUCAAAGCACACAGGAAGUGGCUGAAGUCAAGAAAGAAACAGAAGAACAAUUUGAAUGAAGAUGGAUCAAAAAGAAGACAGACAUUUCUAAAAAGCCAUCUUUAA
rnacentral:lncRNA from 1 species